rnacentral:rRNA from 1 species
AUUGAACGCUGGCGGCAUGCCUUACACAUGCAAGUCGAACGGUAACGGGCCUUCGGGUGCCGACGAGUGGCGAACGGGUGAGUAAUACAUCGGAACGUGCCCGAUCGUGGGGGAUAACGAGGCGAAAGCUUUGCUAAUACCGCAUACGAUCUACGGAUGAAAGCAGGGGACCGCAAGGCCUUGCGCGGACGGAGCGGCCGAUGGCAGAUUAGGUAGUUGGUGGGAUAAAAGCUUACCAAGCCGACGAUCUGUAGCUGGUCUGAGAGGAUGAUCAGCCACAAUGGGAAUGGGAAAAGGGCCCGACUCCUAAGGGAAGCAGCAGUGGGGGAUUUUGGGAAAUGGGCGGAAACCUGAUCCAGCCAAGGCGGGUGGAAGAUGAAGGCCUUCGGGUUGGAAACUGCUUUUGUAAGGAAAGAAAAGCCUUCUUUUAAAAAAGGGGGGUCAAGAAGGUAACGUAAGAAUAAGCAACGGCUAAAUAAGGG